UUUUUUGUAAUAUGUCGUUUUUCUGCCGGUCUUGGGACGUUUUGACUGUCAUUUUAUACUUUCGAUUUCGGAUAUUUUAAGAAUUGUUUUGAUUGUCAAUGACUUUACAAGGAUACAUUGACGUCUCCUGCAUCGUGAGAAAUAAAGCCAUAGAAUACAUUCAUACCACUCAAAUUCAGCCAGUCAGAAUGAUGGGAAGGAUUGCAGAACUGAGUUUCACUCUCACCUGACUGAUGCAGAUUCAGUAACCUAAUUGCUCAUGAUGGUUUCUGAGAAAAAAACAGCUUGGUGUAAUUUGACAGUAUUUUUCAGUAUUUGACAGUGGUUCUAUCAUGCAACAGUCAUACCAUGAAGUGUCUCACAGAUUCUGUCUCAAUUCCUGCAAUAUCCAAGAUUACAGUGUAGUGCAAAGAGGAUUAAUUUUCUUGCAAUAAGAAGUAUCUGCACUUCCAAAGACCCCUGUACAGCAUGAACAGUUCCUUCAUUUUUUGAGUGAUUAUAGAGUGAAAAUGUUUCCAUAUAAAAUGUUUUCUUUAAUUGUUGUCUAAAAACCUUUGUAUUUUCAAUGUGAUACUUUUUAGCAUGUCCGCUUCAGUCAAUGAAAUAUUUCUGUUAUUUGUUAAUCAUUUGGUCAUACUUUGUAUAGAAUUAUAUUUAUAAUUUAACCUUGAAAAUUGCUGACAAUCUCAUACUUAUAUUGAAAUAUUCAGAAUUGCUAGAUGGGUUGAAGUUCACCUUUAUUACAACUGUCAGGCAAUCAUGGCAAGAUGUACAUAAUUCUCAUUUUUAACAAAAAGCGAUGUUUAAAGCAUUAGUAAUGUAAUUUUUAUUGAAUGGUUACCAUGGCAACUAAUUUUUUGUUUGCCUUUAAUCUUCCUAUUUAUAAUACUAUUCAUUGUAAAAAUGCAACAGUCAAGCAGUGAAUGGAAGAAUGUAAAUGUUCUUUGUCUUUUACCUUUUUCAAGCUCAUUCUUCAAAAUAUUAAGCAAUUUUAAAAUUUCUUAAAAAUAGACGUUUUUUCAUCAUUUUUUUAAAGUAAAAUAAUUUGCUUAAAACUUUGUUUAGGUUCUGAUAUUUAGGAAUGUGUAUUAAAUUUAUAGAAAAUAAACAAAAUGUGUUGUUUGACAUUAUUCAUUUCAUUUAAAUUCCGAAGUUUUGAAUUUGACCUAUUUUGGCAGAAAAAUUGAUAAAAAUGUAAAAUUAAAAGGGCCAUAAUUCUGUCAAAAAUUGA